rnacentral:ncRNA from 2 species
UGGUAGCUUGCCCGGGCCAGUCGAACCCACGUGCGUGGGUCAGGGAAUCCGGUGCGAAUCCGGAACUGACGCGCAGCGGUGAGGGGGACGGGCGGGGCAGCAGCCACUGGACCACGGGCGUGGUCCGGGAAGGCGCCUCGUCCGGGUGAUCCCGAGUCCGAAGACCUGCUGGCGGCCUCCGCGCACG